CUAUGGUUGGCUUUAAUGUCAACUUGCCACUACUGAGAAUCACCUGAGUAGGGAACCUCAUAAGUAGCGUCCCGAUUGCUUCAAUUGAUGUGGGAUGACCUUCUGGUAGCAGAUGAAAUUUAAGAAGAGCAUGGGAGAAAGAAGGCCAUCUUGUCUCGUACUCUUUGGCCUACCUUGUUGCCUUUGACCUGAUGAUGAGCCUUGCUGCUGCUGCUGCUGACUCCUUAGUUGAUUGCCACUGGAGACCAUGUUGAGGUCCGUGGCAUGUGCUGACACAGAAGACAGUGUGAAUGUUCAUGAUUUGUGUUCUUGCCAGAAACCAUGUGGAAGUUCAUGAUUCAUGCUCCUGCUGACACUAAAGGGCAAGGAAGCUACUUUUGUCAUGAUAUUGAUGAUCUUGGACUCACAGUUACGAAAGAGGGCCAUACAUAGACAGUUCUCUGACAAUGGCCCCCACCCCAUCUCUCUCCAAAACAUAACAACCUGGACAAAAAGUCACUGAAGGAAGAACAUUCUUUACAUUUGUGAUAAGGAUGCUGGCAUAUAGCUUUCCACAACUGAAGUUUCUGGGCAAGAAUUGAAUCAUGACCUGGAUAUCCUACGAUGGACAGAGUAUUUUGCUGUUCCCAUAGAAGUUAAAUUAUCAUUCAUCAUGGUUACUCCAAAUUAACAUCCUACUGUGAGCUUUAUGAAAACAAAUGGACUUUUCAGGCCUAUUUUAACUUAUUAGUUUACAAAGUGAUGAAAUAUAGCAUCUAUUGUUGAGUUCUCUUAUGAAAAUUAAAGACAUACUUAUAAAACCUAGCCCUGGAUUUGAAUAGUGAGCAUCAUCUCUGAGUGCAGUUUUUAUCUAACACACUUAUAGAAGAUUUGUAUGCAGUCACUGGG